rnacentral:rRNA from 1 species
UACGUAGGUGGCAAGCGUUGUCCGGAAUUAUUGGGCGUAAAGCGCGCGCAGGCGGUCUUUUAAGUCUGAUGUGAAAGCCCACGGCUCAACCGUGGAGGGUCAUUGGAAACUGGGGGACUUGAGUGCAGAAGAGGAGAGUGGAAUUCCACGUGUAGCGGUGAAAUGCGUAGAGAUGUGGAGGAACACCAGUGGCGAAGGCGACUCUCUGGUCUGUAACUGACGCUGAGGCGCGAAAGCGUGGGGAGCAAACAGG